CAGGCCCGCAAGGGUGCUGACGAGUGGCGGACGGGUGAGGAAUACAUCGGAAUUUGCCCAGUCGUGGGGGAUAACGUAGGGAAACUUACGCUAAUACCGCAUACGACCUAACGGUGAAAGCGGGGGAUCGCAAGACCUCGCGCGAGUGGAUGAGCCGAUGUCGGAUUAGCUAGUUGGCGGGGUAAAGGCCCACCAAGGCGACGAUCCGUAGCUGGUCUGAGAGGAUGAUCAGCCACACUGGGACUGAGACACGGCCCAGACUCCUACGGGAGGCAGCAGUGGGGAAUAUUGGACAAUGGGGGCAACCCUGAUCCAGCAAUGCCGCGUGUGUGAAGAAGGCCUUCGGG
rnacentral:rRNA from 1 species